rnacentral:lncRNA from 1 species
AACAAUGUGGCUAUGCUCUUCAUUCCAAUUCUUGAGUUCGACCAGCACUUUGUCACAUUUUGUCAUCCUCUUGUUACUUCUAGCCAAAAGCGUAUUACCAUAUGUUAGGAGAGAAUGGUAAAGUUGUUCUCGCUUUCCCAAUUCUUCAAAUAGGUGGUGGCCGAUUAUUCAACCCAGAGGAAAAUCUGGAAAGAGUAUGAAUUCAGAUUGUUGUCCAGAUAUGGAGCCCAAGAAGGGGGGUGAAUUAGGUCUUUUUAAAAUUUUAAAAAUUGAAUUACUUAAGCAAUGUGCCAAGAUGAAGAGUGAAGUGUAUCAACUUGCAAUAGAAAUAAAAUCAAAUACAAAUAAGAAGUAAGCAAGUAAUGAGCACAAAGAACAAAAGAAGAUAGGCAAGCACAACAAACACAA